UAGGGAAUCUUCGGCAAUGGGGGCAACCCUGACCGAGCAACGCCGCGUGAGUGAAGAAGGGUUUCGGAUCGUAAAGCUCUGUUGUAAGAGAAGAACGUGUGUGAGAGUGGAAAGUUCACACAGUGACGGUAACUUACCAGAAAGGGACGGCUAACUACGUGCCAA
rnacentral:rRNA from 1 species